UGGAGAAGUUUGAUCCUGGCUCAGGAUGAACGCUGGCGGCGUGCCUAAAACACGCAAGUCGAGCGAACAGACGAGGAGCUUGCUCCUUUGACGUUAGCGGCGGACGGGUGAGUAACACGUAGGUAACCUACCUAUAAGACUGGGAUAACUUCGGGAAACCGGAGCUAAUACCGGAUAAUAUUUCGAACCGCAUGGUUCGAUAGUGAAAGAUGGCUUUGCUAUCACUUAUAGAUGGACCUGCGCCGUAUUAGCUAGUUGGUAAGGUAACGGCUUACCAAGGCAACGAUACGUAGCCGACCUGAGAGGGUGAAACGACCACACUGGAACUGAGACACGGUCCAGACUCCUACGGGAGGCAGCAGUAGGGAAUCUUCCGCAAUGGGCGAAAGCCUGACGGAGCAACGCCGCGUGAGUGAUGAAGGUCUUCGGAUCGUAAAACUCUGUUAUUAGGGAAGAACAAACGUGUAAGUAACUGUGCACGUCUUGACGGUACCUAAUCAGAAAGCCACGGCUAACUACGUGCCAGCAGCCGCGGUA
rnacentral:rRNA from 1 species